GAUGAACGCUGGCGGCGUGCCUAAUACAUGCAAGUCGAGCGAACAGAUGAGGAGCUUGCUCCUCUGACGUUAGCGGCGGACGGGUGAGUAACACGUGGAUAACCUACCUAUAAGACUGGGAUAACUUCGGGAAACCGGAGCUAAUACCGGAUAAUAUAUUGAACCGCAUGGUUCAAUAGUGAAAGACGGUUUUGCUGUCACUUAUAGAUGGAUCCGCGCCGCAUUAGCUAGUUGGUAAGGUAACGGCUUACCAAGGCAACGAUGCGUAGCCGACCUGAGAGGGUGAUAGGCCACACUGGAACUGAGACACGGUCAAGACUACUACGGGAGGCAGCAGUAGGGAAUCUUCCGCAAUGGGCGAAAGCCUGACGGAGCAACGCCGCGUGAGUGAUGAAGGUCUUCGGAUCGUAAAACUCUGUUAUUAGGGAAGAACAAAUGUGUAAGUAACUAUGCACGUCUUGACGGUACCUAAUCAGAAAGCCACGGCUAACUACGUG
rnacentral:rRNA from 1 species